rnacentral:rRNA from 1 species
AGGACAAACGCUGGCGGCGUGCCUAAGACAUGCAAGUCGAACGGUGGGGCUUGCCCCACAGUGGCGGACGGGUGAGGAACGCGUGGGCAACCUGCCCCGGGGUGGGGGAUAACACUCAGAAAUGGGUGCUAAGACCGCAUACGGGUGGGGGACGGAAGGUUCCUUAGGGAAAAGCCUUCGGGCUGCCCUGGGAGGGGCCCGCGUCGGAUUAGCUAGUUGGUGUGGUAACGGCGCACCAAGGCUGCGAUCCGUAGCUGGUCUGAGAGGACGACCAGCCACACUGGGACUGAGACACGGCCCAGACUCCUACGGGAGGCAGCAGUUAGGGAAUUUUCACAAUGGGCGCAAGCCUGAUGGAGUGACGCCGCGUGCAGGACGACGCCUUUCGGGGUGUAAACUGCUUUUCUUCGGGACGAGAACGGACGGUACCGGAGGAAGAAGCCUCGGCUAACUACGCGCCAGCAGCCGC